GCAAAAGCCCGGGUCAAUCGAGCUUCCAUAUGCUCGGGACCCCGUCCGCUCUCCCUUAGUCAAGCUGGUGAGGGGCGAACUAGUACUCGGGUCGGUGACGACCGGGGAAUCCUCGCUGUUGUAUGUU
rnacentral:rRNA from 1 species